GAAGAGCAAACAAUAUAUUUAUGGCCGCAAUUAAAGGUAAAUGUCUUUGGUGGGCCACCUGAAAGUAGGCAGCACAUUUUAAUGAGCCUUGUGUCCCCGAAGACAGAGUCAAAUAUAAUUAAAACAGUGAGUUGUGGACCGAUUCCGGUGGCCAGAGGCAUUGCGAAAUUGUGUCGGCCAGCCACUUUAACUUUUAUGGGAUGGAAUAAUGGUAAGUUGGAUUUUUUGAGUGCUAAUAUUAAGGUUGGUAGCGUAAAAGCGGAACCCUUUUUCGCAGGCGGCUACAAACAUGGAGAAAUUUCAUUAGUCUAAUGUGUUGCAUGUCACAUCAAUGUCAGGCGUUGCACUAUGUGCAAACUGCAUGUGGCAAAUGUGAAAAUCCCAAACAAGCUGGAUGCAGAUGGCCAGGACAUCCCGGAGCCACGGAUAUGUAGACCGGGUUGAGUGUCGUCUGUUUCUGUUUGUGGCUGUCGCUCAGGAUUCUUCCCAGCUUGUUGUCACUGUAGUAAAAACAGGCGAAUCCAACAGCUUCACCUGCUGCUCCCCUCCCAAUUCUUUCGGGUAGUUCCCCCUAUUCCUGUAGCCAUACGUCUUCGUCAUUUCAUUGCAGUUGUCAACCCAACAAUGCAAUGCAAAGUGCCACCACCUCCAACCUCCGACAGCGUGAUGCAUUGUUGUGCUACAUUUGUCAUACCCUGUAGUGCACGCCGAGGGUGUUAUGUGCGUCCUCUACGAGUACGCGAAAUUGGAACACUUGUGACAAGUUUAUUUAAACUCACUUUAGGUAAGGUCUUCCAUAUUUUACAUAUAUUCACAAUGUAUUUCUAGUUCCUUGUAUCAUUAAAUGGCUUAUAGAGCAGACAAGCAGGAUUCGGUGGAUUACACACAUAUAUAUAGGGAGCGAAACCACCUCCAGGCUGCGGAGCACACGAAAUUCCAGAAAUGGCAGCCAGGAUGAAAGCCAGAUAUAGAUUCAUCUUGGUUAUGGGUUGGUGGAUUAGUUUAUAGUACUCUUAUGGCUAGACAUUUGAAAAAUUAAGAAUGCAUGCAAAUCUUAUUUGAAAUGGUUGUUAAGAGAAAUAACUGUCUAAAUUAAUAUAUUACGAAAUAUAUUUGUAUUUAAAAAUGA